AUGGGGAUUCAACAAGAGGUCUGGAAACUAUACAAGUCGGCGGCGUGUGUUAUGAUGUGGUUGCGAUGGCUGUUACCUGUUGGUGGAGUUGAGGGGAGCUCAUGUGGUGAGUCGAGUGUUUUCUUUUUACCUGAGGGGAUGGAUGUUGAGUGCUUAGUUUGUAGAGAGGUAAGCCUCACUGAAGAAUUGUACAAAAGAGAUACUCAAUGUACAGCUUUUUGGGCAAAACUUUUAAAAGGGAAGUUGAUGUAUAUGUUGUUAUGCGUAGGGGUAGUCCCUUGGCACAAGCUAGGGAUGAUAGAUGUUGCUUCAUUGUUUUGUUGGACAAAAUGGAAGAAAGAAAUGUUGUGA
rnacentral:rRNA from 1 species